AUUGAACGCUGGCGGCAGGCCUAACACAUGCAAGUCGAACGAGUGGCGGACGGGUGAGUAAUGUCUGGGAAACUGCUCGAUGGAGGGGGAUAACUACUGGAACCGGUAGCUAAUACCGCAUACCCUCGGAUGUGCCCAGAUGGGAUUAGUUAGUAGGUGGGGUAACGCCUAACCUAGGCGACGAACCCUAGCUGCUCUGAGAGGAUGACCCGCCAAACUGGAACUGAGACACGGCCCAGACUCCUACGGGAGGCAGCAGUGGGGAAUAUUGCACAAGGGGCGCAAGCCUGAUGCAGCCAUGCCGCGUGUAUGAAGAAGGCCUUCGGGUUGUAAAGUACUUUCAGCGAGGAGGCGUUACUCGCAGAAGAAGCACCGGCUAACUCCGUGCCAGCCGCCGCGGUAAUAC
rnacentral:rRNA from 1 species